AGCACAUUUAUUUUAUAGGUUUCAUCAUUAAAAGGUAAUUUGUUAGAAAGUUUUAGCAAAGCAGGCAGUCUGAAGGAUGCAGGAUCAGCGAGACAUUAGGGUUAUCUUGUUAUGCUCAGCAUCAUCUAUCUCUGGGAGUUGGUGCCUGAACUCAAGGCCUCAAUGGAGAACCCUGAUCCUUUGCGGUUUCCUUGGGUCAGCAUCACCAUAGCAACUGGGCCAUCUUGAAUUGCACCUUUGCACAGGCAGUUCCAGUGCAGUGCAUCCAUGGGGGAGUCAGGCUGUGAUUCAAAUCACUGUUCUCCACAACCAGAGAGUGUUCGUUAAGGCUGGAUGUGAUGUCUGGAUGUUGGGUAGGAGAUUCCUGGGUCAGCGGAGUAAUUGCCAGAGUUGGCCAUUCACCUCUGGCCAUCCAAACCCACACUGUCAACAAAUCUUCAACACCCUUCUCAAUGUUUGAAUCACUCUGGAUCUACAGAUGGUAUUCUGCCCCCUGAGCUAUUUCUGUAGCCUUCUAGAUGACUUCUCUGCUUCUUUCUUGCCCCCUGCAUCCCGCACUUUCCUAUCCCAGUCUGUCUUCAAUAGGGGUCAGAUGGAUCCUGUCGGAUCAUAAGUCAGAUGAUGUCCCUCUCUGUCAAACCCCAUCUCACUCCCAGGAAAAGCCAAUGUCCCCCAUGGCCCCAGCCACUGCCCCAGCCCCACCAAACUGAUUUUACCCUCCCUGCGUUCCUGCUGGCCCAUGCUCCCUCCUGACGCUGGCCUCCUGGCUGCUCCUCAGACAUGCCCAGCCCACUCUCCUCUCAAGGGCCCAUGGCAGUAUCCUCUUGCUGGAGUGCUUUUGCCCCUAGUAUUUGGAAUGUUUGCUUUUCUUGCUUUCUCUUUAGAUGUCAUUAUCUAUCCAAAGACGCUCUGCCUGUCCACCUUUAUAAAAAAAAUUCCAUCCUUUGAUCUUCCUUUAUUUUCAUAGCAGCACCUAACACCUACACAUACAUAGUUAAUUAUCUGUUUGUAUUCCGACUAUCCUGACAGUGGCUUUGUCUGUUUUUUUUUUUUAUUGUUAUACUCAAUUUCUAGCUCAAGAAAUAGUUGUUAAAUGAAUGAAGCAAUGAAUAGGUGUCAUGGCAUUUUUAUGAGGAUACAGGACAAUAGAAUGAUCUUCCUCCUGGUGAGAGGGAAGGACCAAGGGUUUGAGAACUUGAUCUGGCUUUGACACCUUGUGUCCUGCUUUCAGGUGAGGAGAGGUGAACUUUGGGCAUCCUCACUCCCACUGACCGCCACUGGACAGAGCGCAGGCCGCGGAUGUCUGAAGUCUCGGAACAGUCAAUACCAGCAGGUGGAUUGGAAACAAACAAAACAAACAGGACCCCAAGUGCCACCCAGCUGGUGCUCAUUCUCAGGAAGGUCCCCUAUGCCGGUUACUCUUCCUGUCACCUAUGGCCCAUCACCAGUAGGGGAGGCAGGAGGGCACCUGCUCCUAAGGACUCAGAAGUUGUCACUUCAGGGUAAGUCAAGAAGCCUGGCUCCACUCCUGCCCCAGGCCUCCUCUCCUCUUGUGGGUCUGAAACACUGGCCCAAGCAUGGAGGGAGCGGGCAGUGAGCCACUGGCCUUUUAAAACUGCUGUGGUCCCCCGUCAGCCAUGCUGCCCCUGGUUGGGGGUAAAGCGGGACCUCUGCGAUUUAGGGUUGGCCCGGGGGGACAGCAGCACAGGAAGCAUUCUGAGGUCAGGCCUUAUGGGAUAUUCCAAGGGCACAGAAUGGGCCAAGCCACGGUGACUGUAGUGAAAAGGGAGAGCCCAUGCGGUGUGUCCUGUUGACCUGGCUGUUCCAAGCCUUGUGAAGGGAAGGCCCUCCUCCAUGUAGAGAGGGCUGUGUGAGCAGGCAAGGGGAAGCUGGCGCUUCUUUACACAGUCCCUGGGGAGUUCAGGCACCGGCUAUGCCAGCUAAGCCUCUCUAAGCUUUUGACAUGGACAGUAGGGCUCCCAUUUUUCAGAUGAGCAAGAUGAGGCACAGAGAGGUCAUCCAAGGUCACAGUCCUGGUAAGUGACAGGGCCAAGCAAGUCUUCAAUAAGCACACUCACCGACACUGGAAUUGAUAAUCCUGUAGUUCCUAAGGCCAUGAAUCUGAGCUCACAGGCCAGGAGCUUUAGAGUCCAGCAGCAAUGCGAGGACUGGGGAAAUGGAGCAGGUCACUCUUAGGAACUUGCUUCCCCAGGCUAUGAGAGAGGCCCUCGGGGCCCUGCCAGCUGCCUGGGUCGCUCAUGGCUGGCUGAUGAUCACAGGUGUGCUUUUCCCUCAUCUCACCUGGUGCUGUGUUUCUGGGGAGCUCGCUGCCUGGCCAGGGGUGGUGAAGCACAACAGCACCCAGCUGAGUUGGCUCUUGAAGCUGGAAGAGGGCCUGGGGGCUCACAGCAGCUCCCAGGCCCAUGUGCCCCAUUUAGUGGAAGGUGACUAAGGGGAAGAGGCCAGCCUUAGGAGUCAGUGAGGCUGACUGUCAUUUCUGAGGACAGAGGGUGCCUCAGGGAGCAAACUGCAGCUUCAGAAUUUGGGGUGUGUCUGCUGUGGCUACAUUGGCUGAGGUGGGUGGCCUUAGGGGCCUUGGGCCUGGGGACAACAGGAGGUUCCAUCAGCUGUCAAAGGCGGGGACAGGAAUAGGGUUUUAUUUCAUGGCUUUACUUCCUUAAUGGGUAAAGUGGCCAUGCAGAAGGUGCAGCUCAGGGGGUUGCGUAUGUGCAAACUGUGAAGUAAUAAGUAAUUAAAUACGCAGCACACAGCGCUGGAGAAGCAGAAGUGCUCACAGCCUUCUGUAUGUUAAUUACACGCAUCGCUGAAUGCAGCCAUCAGUCGCAGCCUCUGAAUGACGACGUCCGGUUGCCUGGGUUCUAGAAUCACUGGACUGGCACAGUGGCCGAGGCCGGCCCUCUAGUCUCCUCUAGGUAUCUAUUAGAAUUUGCUCUUCAAGAUUGUGCCCAGGAGUGCCGCAUGGUGCUGGGGAGCGAGGGGUGUGUUGACUUUCAGAAUUCAUCCAGGGACUGGGCCCACCUCCCGGCAGCCCAUGUUCAUCAGAUCCAGCCCUCUUUGAUCCAUAGAGCACGUCCAGAGUGGGUGUGGUUACGUCUGAAGAGAUGCACCAGCCAUGCGCCAGGGCUUGGACUGGAGAACGGGUCCACAGGGGUGGGCUGACUGUCCCACUCCACAGGCCCAGGAGGACACCGGGCCUCAGUGUUUUCAGUAUGAGAUGAAAGGACUCCAUGCCCCUGAUGAGUCCAGAGAGACACAGCAGCAGCCCAGGGCCCCGAUUCCCUGGGGCUCACACCCUGCCGCCGUGUGGAUGGGCGCUGUGGCCACCUGUGUUAGCCAGGACUCACCCUUUCACUGUUCUGGGUAGAACCCAUGAGAAUCGCACCUGUGAAGGACACUGGCCCACUGCAGCUCACCCAGGAUGUCACUGAGAAGAGGCCGCUCCUGGAGUUGCCAGAACCUUGUCUGCAAAGCAUGUUCAGAAAGGUGAGGAGGGAGACCCUGACCUGGCUCUCUUUCCUUGAAUUCUCAUCUCUCUUCUGCCCCAAAGGAGUGGAAAGUAAAAUGGACUCUUAAUUGUCUUUGUCUCCAAGCGCGUCUUUAAGAAGUAAGGAAUAUGAUAUAAAGUCUUCAUUAAAGAAACUGCUGACCCCUUC